UACGUAGGGUGCAAGCGUUGUCCGGAAUUACUGGGCGUAAAGGGCUCGUAGGCGGCCAACUAAGUCAGACGUGAAAUCCCUCGGCUUAACCGGGGGAACUGCGUCUGAUACUGGAUGGCUUGAAUCCGGGAGAGGGAUGCGGAAUUCCAGGUGUAGCGGUGAAAUGCGUAGAUAUCUGGAGGAACACCGGUGGCGAAGGCGGCAUCCUGGACCGGCAUUGACGCUGAGGAGCGAAAGCCAGGGGAGCAAAGCGGG
rnacentral:rRNA from 1 species